rnacentral:rRNA from 1 species
UACGGAGGGGGCUAGCGUUGUUCGGAAUUACUGGGCGUAAAGCGCACGUAGGCGGCUUUGUAAGUAAGAGGUGAAAGCCUGGUGCUCAACACCAGAACUGCCUUUUAGACUGCAUCGCUUGAAUCCAGGAGAGGUGAGUGGAAUUCCGAGUGUAGAGGUGAAAUUCGUAGAUAUUCGGAAGAACACCAGUGGCGAAGGCGGCUCACCGGACUGGUAUUGACGCUGAGGUGCGAAAGCGUGGGGAGCAAACAGG